UGGGGAAUUUUGGGCAAUGGGCGAAAGCCUGACCCAGCAACGCCGCGUGAAGGAUGAAGUCUUUCGGGAUGUAAACUUCGUAAGGAUAGGAAGAAUAAAUGACGGUACUAUUUGUAAGGUCCGGCUAACUACGUGCCAGCAGCCGCGGUAAUACGUAGGGACCAAGCGUUGUUCGGAUUUACUGGGCGUAAAGGGCGCGUAGGCGGCAAUUCAAGUCAGUUGUGAAAUCUCCGAGCUUAACUCGGAACGGUCAACUGAUACUGUUUUGCUAGAGUACAGAAGGGGCAAUCGGAAUUCUUGGUGUAGCGGUGAAAUGCGUAGAUAUCAAGAGGAACACCUGAGGUGAAGACGGGUUGCUGGGCUGAUACUGACGCUGAGGCGCGAAAGCUAGGGUAGCAAACG
rnacentral:rRNA from 1 species